AUCCAAACAAUUCGGAGAGCUUACCAAAAGAAAUCACUGUAUCGACGAAGAACUUCACGAGUGUUAGAAGAAUCAGAUAUAAUAUAAUUAUUAUGGCGAUAGAAAAAGUAACCACUAGGCUCAAGGUCAAUGUCAACAUUCAUUUCCAAACUAGCGGGAAAUGAAGUUGAACUGGAAGCCAAUCUAAACGAACUAUGUCUACUGUUUGACAGUAACGGCUGAGUGGAAGGGGAAAGGCGAUUAGGAAUCUUCGAAAAGGGCUUUCUAGGGGUAAUAGCAUUAUCAUCGACAGAAGAAUCAACGGAA